UACGAAGGGGGCUAGCGUUGCUCGGAAUCACUGGGCGUAAAGCGCACGUAGGCGGAUCUUUAAGUCAGGGGUGAAAUCCUGGAGCUCAACUCCAGAACUGCCUUUGAUACUGGGAAUCUCGAGUCCGGGAGAGGUGAGUGGAACUGCGAGUGUAGAGGUGAAAUUCGUAGAUAUUCGCAAGAACACCAGUGGCGAAGGCGGCUCACUGGCCCGGUACUGACGCUGAGGUGCGAAAGCGUGGGGAGCAAACAGG
rnacentral:rRNA from 1 species